AUGAAGCUCAUUUUAAUUUUGUUAUGCAGUUCAUAUCAUUUUUUUAUUACCCGCAACAUUUAUUUAUUUUUGUAAUUUAGUGACAAUAGGUUAAGUUUUUCUUCUUUAUAUUCCUGUUGAUCACAAUUAUUGGCUUUUGAUUGAUGCCAUGGUUUUGUAUUUCGAACAUCCAGGAACUCCAUAAUUGCAUUUGAGGAUUUCCUCGUAUUCCGG
rnacentral:lncRNA from 1 species